GACGUAGGGCGCGAGCGUUGUCCGGAUUUAUUGGGCGUAAAGAGCUCGUAGGCGGCUCAUCGCGUCAACCGUGAAAACCAGCAGCUCAACUGUUGGCUUGCGGUUGAUACGGGUGGGCUGGAGUUCGGUAGGGGAGACUGGAAUUCCUGGUGUAGCGGUGAAAUGCGCAGAUAUCAGGAGGAACACCGGUGGCGAAGGCGGGUCUCUGGGCCGAUACUGACGCUGAGGAGCGAAAGCGUGGGGAACGAACAGG
rnacentral:rRNA from 1 species